GGUUGUGGCUUAGUGGUAGAGCGCUUGCCUAGCAUGUGUGAGGCCCUGGGUUUGAUUCUCAACACCA
rnacentral:tRNA from 1 species